GACGCUGGCGGCGUGUCUUAGCCAUGCAAGUCGAGCGGACUUAUGGGGUAACUUAUAAGUCAGCGGCGGACGGCGGAGUAACACGUAGCUAACCUACCCUCUGGACGGGGGAUAACCUCCGAAAGGUGGGCUAAUACCCGAUGUAGUCAUCCUGUAUAGGGGUGAUGAAAGGUGGGCUUCUGUUUACAAGCUCAUGCUGGAGGAGGGGGCUGCGGCCUAUCAGGUAGUUGGUAGGGUAAUAGCCUACCAAGCCGAUGACGGGUAGCCGGCCUGAGAGGGUGACCGGCCCGAGGGGCACUGAGAUACGGGUCCCACUCCUACGGGAGGCAGCAGGCUAGAAAUUUGGGCAAUGGGGGAAACCCUGACCCAGUGACGCCGCGUGCAGGAAGGAGCCCUUCGGGGUGCAAACUGCUGUCGUGUAGGGAGAAGGGUACUAAGGUGAACAAUCUUAGUACUUGACGGUACUACAGGAGGAAGCCCAGGCUAACCUCGUG
rnacentral:rRNA from 1 species